rnacentral:rRNA from 1 species
ACAACUUUCAGCAACGGAUCUCUUGGCUCUCGCAUCGAUGAAGAACGCAGCGAAAUGCGAUAAGUWAUGUGAAUUGCAGAAUUCAGUGAAUCAUCGAAUCUUUGAACGCACCUUGCGCUCCUUGGUAUUCCGAGGAGCAUGCCUGHUUGAGHGHCGUGAA